rnacentral:rRNA from 1 species
UCCCCAGACUCCUACGGGAGGCAGCAGUGGGGGAUAUUGCACAAUGGGGGAAACCCUGAUGCAGCGACGCCGCGUGAGUGAAGAAGUAAUUCGUUCCGUAAAGCUCUAUCAGCAGGGAAGAAAAUGACGGUACCUGACUAAGAAGCCCCGGCUAACUACGUGCCAGCAGCCGCGGUAAUACGUAGGGGGCAAGCGUUAUCCGGAUUUACUGGGUGUAAAGGGCGUGUAGGCGGGGACGCAAGUCAGAUGUGAAAACCACGGGCUCAACCUGUGGCCUGCAUUUGAAACUGUGUUUCUUGAGUACUGGAGAGGCAGACGGAAUUCCUAGUGUAGCGGUGAAAUGCGUAGAUAUUAGGAGGAACACCAGUGGCGAAGGCGGUCUGCCGGACAGCAACUGACGCUGAGGCGCGAAAGCGUGGGGAGCAAACAGGAUUAGAUACCCUUGUC